rnacentral:rRNA from 1 species
CCUACGGGUGGCAGCAGUGAGGAAUAUUGGUCAAUGGACGAGAGUCUGAACCAGCCAAGUAGCGUGAAGGAUGACUGCCCUAUGGGUUGUAAACUUCUUUUAUAUGGGAAUAAAAUGUUCCACGUGUGGGAUUUUGUAUGUACCAUAUGAAUAAGGAUCGGCUAACUCCGUGCCAGCAGCCGCGGUAAUACGGAGGAGCCGAGCGUUAUCCGGGUUUAUUGGGUUUAAAGGGAGCGUAGGUGGAUUGUUAAGUCAGUUGUGAAAGUUUGCGGCUCAACCGUAAAAUUGCAGUUGAAACUGGCAGUCUUGAGUACAGUAGAGGUGGGUGGAAUUCGUGGUGUAGCGGUGAAAUGCUUAGAUAUCACGAAGAACUCCGAUUGCGAAGGCAGUUCACUGGACUGCAACUGACACUGAGGCUCGAAAGUGUGGGUAUCAAACAGGAUUAGAUACCCGAGUAGUC